CACCAAUCACCAUUCUCGCAUUCUCAAAAGGUUACUGAGCUAUACUUCUUCCCCUCCACGGAUGUGACCACAGCCGGAAGCACCGCACAACACAACACCCUCUCCAUUCGCGACGUCGUCGUCUUCUGAGUUCGCAGCUCCAUUCGCAUCGUCGUCUUCUUAGUUAGCGCCGUUGUCGUCUUCUAAGUUCACAGCGCCGGCGUCGUCGUCUGAAACUAUCUGAAGAGUUCACAAAAAAGUGUGAUGGUGUGCCACUUGCAAUUGUGGCUAUAGCUUCUCUUCUGUCAACCAAGAAAGAGAGAGUCUCAGAAUGGAAGGUGGUGUACAACAGCCUUCAAUCAAAGCUUGCAAGCGAUUCUCAUCUUAAAGGUUAGCAUCAGGCACUGUUAGAAAGCUAUCAGGAUCUUAGUUACCACCUCAAGUCAUGUCUCUUGUACUUUGGCCUUUUUCCUGAGCAAUACACAAUCAAUAGUGCAAGGCUCAUCAAUUUGUGGAUAGCUGAAGGGCUUGUGGAGUGCAGAGAGCACCAAACUCAACGAGAAGUUGGAGAAGAGUACUUAAGCUGAUCUCAUUCAUAGGAGCUUGGUUAAGGUAGCUGAUGUGAACCCUUACGACGGCAGAGUUACAAAGUGUAGAGUUCAUGAUUUGAUGCAUGACUUCAUUGUCAAGAAAUGUGAAGAGUUCAACUUGUGUCAAGUGAAGAAAGGUAACCCAUUUUGUUUUGAUAAAUGGACUAGACGUUUAUCAAUUGGCACAAAUGUUGACUUUGCUGAUCUGGGAACAAGUGCUUCAACUACAGAGUUUGAUAGAAACCAAUUUAGCUUGUUGCGUUCUUUCCUUCUUUAUGAUAUUAUAGAUGAGGAGGAAAUGAUAAGCACUUUUGUGAACUCACUUUUCUCUAAUUUCAAGCUCUUGGUGACACUGGACUUUGAAAAAAUACCACUUGGUCAUCUUCCAGAAACAAUUGGAAACGUUAAAUUUAGUAAUAUGAGAGCUAAUAAAUUUAAAGUGUAAUGAAUUUAAAUUGAUAUGAGAGCUCAUUAAAGCGUCUAAAGGCGUGGUCGGCUAAGAAGCAGGGUAGUGUAACUGCAUUGGAGGUCUUUCUCCUGGCAGCGUUAGCAAAACUUGGAGAAACCGUUUCAACAUAUCUCUUACUGGUUGUCAAGUCAAGGCUUCAAGCAAAACAGGAGAUUGGUGCUAGUAACUCAUUAAGAUACUCAGGUACCUUUGAUGCAAUACUGAAAAUGAUCCGUUUUAAAGGAUUGCCUGGUUUCUAUAAAGGGAUGAGCACAAAGAUAGUACAGAGUGUUUUUGCAGCUUCUGUUCUAUUCAUGAUUAAGGAGGAGCUUGUUAAGGCUUUCAUUUCAUUGGCUGAUAAAGUAAGAAAGUUGCAUCAAAUUUGAGGAAUUGACUUCUAUUCCUCCUUAUAAGCUAAAGAAAGAAAUGAGCAGAUAAACUUUGCAAUAUGGAAGAAAGUUCCGUUCCCCAAUGGAGUUAUAAUGCUUACAGUUUGUGGUGAAAUAAUGGAUAAAGCAUAAAAGUAAGACUAACUUUGACAGCUUUGGAGAGCUAAUGAAGCUGAGAGUGCUGCAGAAGAAUAUUUAGUCUCAAACGUGAAUAUUAAGAGCACCCUUUCUUUUUCUCAACUUUCAUUUGUAACCAUAUAUUUGCAGCAUGCUGCAGACAUUAUAAAAUUGUUGCGUGCUGGCGUCAUAAUAAUUGUUAUUGUUAUGAAUAUGAUUGAGGGAAUUUAUCU